AUUGAACGCUGGCGGCAUGCUUUACACAUGCAAGUCGAACGGUAACAGGCCUUCGGGUGCUGACGAGUGGCGAACGGGUGAGUAAUGCAUCGGAAAGUACCCAGAGGUGGGGGAUAACGAAGUGAAAGCUGUGCUAAUACCGCAUGUGAUCUGAGGAUGAAAGCGGGGGACCGAGCAGCAAUGUUUGGCCUCAUGCCGUUGGAGCGGCCGAGGUCGGAUUAGCUAGUUGGUGGGGUAAAGGCCUACCAAGGCGACGAUCCGUAGCUGGUCUGAGAGGACGACCAGCCACACUGGGACUGAGACACGGCCCAUACUCCUACGGGAGGCAGCAGUGGGGAAUUUUGGACAAUGGGCGCAAGCCUGAUCCAGCAAUGCCGCGUGCGGGAAGAAGGCCUUCGGGUUGUAAACCGCUUUUGGCAGGAACGAAACGGUGUCCGCUAAUACCGGGCGCUAAUGACGGUACCUGCAGAAUAAGCACCGGCUAACUACGUG
rnacentral:rRNA from 1 species